AGUGAAAUUGCUGGUUCAAAUGGUAAACUGUUUAACUUUUUGAGGAACUGCCAGACUGUUUUCAAAAGUGACUGCACCAUUUGCAUUACCACUAGUAGU
rnacentral:pre_miRNA from 1 species